AUUGAACGCUGGCGGCAGGCCUAACACAUGCAAGUCGAGCGGAUGAAGGGGACUUGUUCCUCUCUUCAGCGGCGGACGGGCGAGUAAUGACUAGGUAUCUGACUUGUAGAGGGGGAUGGCGUCCGGUAAGGGGAGCUGAUCCAACAUACGUCCAGAGGGUGAAAGUGAUGGAUCAUCAGAGCAAGACCUUCCUGCUGUGACUAGGUCGGAUUAGCUAGUUGGUGGGGUAAAGGCCUACCAAGGCGACGAUCCGUAACUGCUCUGAGAGGAUGAUCAGUCACACUGGAACUGAGACACGGUCCAGACUCCUACGGGAGGCAGCAGUGGGGAAUAUUGGACAAUGGGCGAAAGCCUGACCCAGCCAUGCCGCGUGAGUGAAGAAGGUCUUCGGAUUGUAAAGCACUGUUAGUAGGGAAGAAGGUAUGUAAGUUAAUACCUUGCUAUCUUGACGGUACCAAAAGAAUAAGCACCGGCUAACUUCGUG
rnacentral:rRNA from 1 species